rnacentral:rRNA from 1 species
UACGGAGGGUGCAAGCGUUAUCCGGAUUCACUGGGUUUAAAGGGUGCGUAGGCGGCGUAGUAAGUCAGGAGUGAAAGUUUGCGGCUCAACCGUAAAAUUGCUUUUGAUACUGCUAUGCUAGAAUUAGGAUGAGGUCAGCGGAAUGUGGCAUGUAGCGGUGAAAUGCAUAGAUAUGCCAUAGAACACCAAUUGCGAAGGCAGCUGGCUAGACCUGGAUUGACGCUGAGGCACGAAAGCGUGGGGAGCGAACAGG